CAUCCUCUUAGCAGCUCCUUUAUUUCUCUCAUAGAGCUACCCAAAUACCAAAAGGGCCAAAAAGACCAUCCGAUAACCGGAAGAAGCGCGGCCAUGUGAGCGCUGGCCAUGGGCGUAUCGGCAAGCACCGGAAGGAUCCAGGAGGUCGCGGAAACCCAGGACGCAUGCACCACCAUUGGAUCCUCUUCGACAAGUACCAUCCUGGGUAUUUUGGAAAUGUUGGUAUGCGAUAUUUCCACAAGUUGCGUAACAAAUUCCACUGCCCCAUCGCCAAUAUCGACAAACUCCGGUCAUUGAUCCCUCAGGAACUGGAAAAAUCAAACAAUGAAACAUCCGAUGUAUGUAAAAUGAAACCUUCAUUGUGGUGGGUCUCACGUUUAGGCCAGCAAGGACAAUGUGCCCAUGAUCGAUGUCACUCAGUAUGGCUACUUCAAGGUAUUGGGGAAGGGCGCUCUGCCAGAGAACAAGCCGAUUGUGGUGAAAGCGAAGCUUGUCUCCAAGUAAGAUAAAGGAGAACGGUGGAGCUGUUGUUCUUACUGCUUAAGCUGUUUUGUUUGGUGCUUUUUGGUUUAAAGGGAUAUGAGUUACUUUCCCAGUAGG
rnacentral:misc_RNA from 1 species